GGGCCCGUAGCUCAGCCAGGUAGAGCGGCGGGCUCUUAACCCGUAGACCAGCUAUGGGCGGAAGUCCCGGGUUCGAAUCCCGGCGGGCCCGCCA
rnacentral:tRNA from 1 species